UGAGCCUACACACAGAAGGCCUUGCCCAGUUGGAACAUUGCUCUUGGAGUGCGGAGUUGCCACGUAAGUGGUCUGAUACUCUGAAGCCACCAUGUUCUGUGAAGUCCAAGGUCACUCCAACCCACACCAAAUGCCAGCUGAAUCAUCAAGGUUCAGGGGCAGACACUAGAGUGAAGAAACCUUUACAUUUUCCGGGCUCCAGACAGCUGAGUCACGCACUGCCCCUCACCACCUCCCUGCUGGGGCUCCAGACACCAACAUCCAGAAAGAAGCCAUGAGUGUCUCGUCUCCAAAACCCUGACCUACAGAACCUGUGUGGCAAGGAGGGAAGACAGCCAGAGAAGCUGUGCACAGUUCAGUGAGUGGAAAAACAAGAGUUGGAGGCACACAGCCGUUUAUCCAGCUAUCUACCCACUUCUAGAAGAAAUGUCCCACCCAGAUGAGUAAUAACGAAGCCUGUCCUUUGUGUGUCUGCUGUGUGCUAGGGGUUUUAUAUAGAGCACUUCUCCUUCACAAAGCAACCCGAAGUGUGAGAGCGCAUUGCCACACAGCGUGUCAGCGAUUCUCCCAAGCCAUACUCCAGGAGGUGGAGGAGCCAUGGGCUACCUUCUGCUUUGCUUCCAAAGGUUCUGAAACCAGUGUCUUCUCCACAUGAUCUGUGUGAGUCACUUCCCUGUUUCUUUGACAAGAAGCAACUCAAAGGAAGGGAGGGUUUAUUCUGACCAGAUGUUGUCCAUCAUGGGGAAGAGAACAGCAGCAGCUGGCAGGAGCCGAGUCCACUGUAACCACAGUCAGGAGGCAGAGAUGGAUGAAUGACUGGGUUCAGGUCACUUCCUUUUUGGACAUCAGCCCACAGAAUGGCACCGUCCAUACUGAGGGUGAGUCUUCCCAUCUCAAGUAACCGAGUGCAGAAAAUCUCUCACGGGUAUCCCCAGAGACUUGCCUCCAAGGUCCUGUCAGAUCGAUAACAUAAAUUAUUACACUAUCCCAAUCCUGGUUCCUCGAAAAGCUUCAUGGUUCCAUCUCAGGAGCCAGGCGCUGCUACCAGGGGCAUCGAGACCUCCUUCAGAAAACAAAGAACGGCCAUGUUGCCAGAUAAUUUGAGUAGACCGGCCUGAGGCUUCUGUGGGCAGUACCCAAACUGUACUAUGGGCUGAGAAGUCACCCUAGAACCAGGUCAUCUGUGGGAUAUGAAGUAGAAACGGGAAAGGGCUUUGGCAAGCCUGAGCCUAUCCGAAGGUUGGCACCCCUAAAUUAUAAAGCGUGGAAGGGACUAAAGGAGCAGCUGCAACAUGACGCUGUAUAAUUAUUUUAUAUUGGUGAAAUUCCUGCUAAAUUGCCGGCUAAAGCCGAAGCGGAAGAAAACUUUGUAGGUGAGUGUAGAACCCAACGAAGCAUUUUUCAUGGCAAAUAGUUAUUGUCUUAGCCAGGCGGCCGUCCCCAAAAGUCCCCAAAGUAGUCACCUCUUCUGCCAGUUAUGGAGUUUUGAGUCUGGAUUCCUCCGGUUCAUGGGAGAGGCUCUGUGGUCACUAAUGGUAGAUUUCUUUUGUGCAUGGCCAGGUGCCCUGUCAGGACUGGCACCAAGGCAGUAUUUAAAGAUGACUGGAGUGGUCAACCCCAUAACAGAGAGAGAAAUAUCUACUAACAAGGGAGAUUUAUCCAAUUGUUUAAAACUCAUUGCGUGUUCCAUUAAAGGGAAAAGCUUGGUCUGGAUAGAAAGAAGGCUUAGUGCAUCAACCGCUGGCCAUGCAGAUGUAUCUAUGUCCAAAUCCCAUGCAAAUCACUGUUCUGUCUCUUCCCUGUGGGGUGAAAAACAACCAGCUGAAUCGGCUGAAGCUGGCGGGCCAACUACACGGUCACAAACAGAAACACUGGCUCACCGUCACAUGGAACGCUAGGGCUGCCCUCUGACGCCGACCCGCACACAUGCGUGCACGCCUCCCCGGUACAAAUACGUUUGCAAAAGGAAGAGAGAAUGAGAGAAAGAAAAUCUUUGGCCAGAGAGCACAGCCAUCUCUGGAGGGUCCCCUAUUUACUUAGGUUGCCUUCAGACAGGGAACCAGAAUUUGAGUCGGUCAGGGAACUGACCGGGAAGAGCUCCGAACUGAAUUGCCCAAAACAGAUUUCAAAUUCCAUCAUGGAUUUGCAUGCAGGGUUGAGUCCCCAGCUCUGCAUGAAUGCAAAUGGCAGACCCAGAUUUUCACCAGGAGGAAGAAGCUGGGUGAGAGCUUGUGACCUUCUGGUCCUGGGGGUGAGUCUCCUUCGGGAAGGGUAUCCUGACUUCCCAGGUGGUGUUGGAAUAUCACCUACCUUACUUUAGACAUGGUUCCGACUGUCAGAUGUGUCUCAGGGUACUAAAAUAGCCAUGUAGUUGCUUAGAAACCAAAGGUCCAAGAGAUCUCAGCAACGGCCGUUGAAUGAUUUGCUCAGUCCUGCGCUGAGAGCGUUAGAACAGCAGAGAAUCGGUACCAGAAGGACUGUGUGGACAGUGGAGAGGAAUGGGCAGGCAGCGGAGGGCAAGUGCAGCACAUUUUCUUCACUGAGCCAUUUCAAUGUGCUCUGAGGAAGCGGAUUCUCCGUGAAAUCCUAGCUCGGCUCCGGGGAGACAGCUCAGUCAACAAAGUGCUUGCCAUGCAAGCGUGACGAUGAAGUUCAAUCCUCAGACCCACAUAGAAACCAGGCAUGGUAGCAUGGGAAGACAGAGGUCCCUGGAAUCUAUUGGCCUACUUUAUUAGCCUGCCCUAAUCAGAAAGUCUCAGGAGAGAGAGAGAGAGAGAGAGAGAGAGAGAGAGAGAGAGAGAGAGAGAGAGAGAGAGACUCAAGAAACAAAACCAAACCGAAUCAAUGUAGAUGGAGUUAAAAUGGUGUCACUCUCUCAUCCUCAAGAGCGAUGAUACCGGAGGUUGCCCUGUGAUUUCCACAUGCCUGUGCUGCAUCACACGUGCACACACACACACACACACACACACACACACACACACACACACACACACAGAGCGCUCUGAGAAAGUGGCUUGGUUUUACUGAACCAGGGAGGCUUCUGGUCCUCUGUCUGUCCCUUGAGGAGCCUCACCUCAGACUGGAAGGGAAGCUCCUGUGCCUUUUCCCUUCAGAGAGUCGAGUCAGUGGAGCUGCAAAUUCUGACCUUCCUAAAGCAGACUUCCGGUGCUUCCUCACCGGGCUUCUCUCAGAAGUAAUUCUCAUUUCCUGGUCCUAACAUUGGCCCCAAAUAACAUGCUUUUGUAUAUAAGAGGGGAGCCAGGGCAGUCUUUUUCUUUUAAAAACAAAAAAGAUAAAACAAAAGUCAAAAAACCACAAAGUAAUUUUAAAUAACUCAAA